rnacentral:lncRNA from 1 species
UACGAACAGUGAAAAAUACUGUGUGUAUUAUAUCAUCCAGAAGGCUGCUUAUUAAUACAAAGAUCAAACCAACAUACAAGAGUAAUAAGGCCAAAAUGUAAAUGGCAUGUAUCAAGAAUAAAAUUAACAAGCACAAAGAAAACAAGAUGCUGUUAAGACAAACUGAAAGUUUUCAAAGCCUCUCUCUCUCCCAAUGAGAAGUGUAAGCAGAAGGGGAAAGAGUCCACCAAUCAUUGCAUGAUUUUUUAGGCUGCUUGCAUGAUUAGAAGGUGGUUCUGCUGGAACCAUGUGAUCAUGCCACUCGUGAGCAGCUACAUCUGCAACCGAAACAAUGAAAAGAGCUAUGAAGAAUGUGAAUUUGACUCGUGAAGCCAUGCUUAAUUGCAAUGCCCUCUAUCAGAUGAUUGAAGGUAUAAAAUUCCUUAGUUGCUUCUGGCUUGAACAUAAUUGGUUUAAAUGGGCUAUAUAUGUUAUAUAGUAAUGGCCAGUUGACUUUUACAAUUCAAGAG